rnacentral:rRNA from 1 species
AUUGAACGCUGGCGGCAGGCCUAACACAUGCAAGUCGAGCGAGCGGCGGACGGGUGAGUAAUGUCUGGGAAACUGCCUGCUGGAGGGGGCUAACUACUGGAAACGGUAGCUCAUACCGCAUCCCAUCAGAUGUGCCCCGAUGUGAUGAGCUAGUAGGUUGGGUAACGGCUCACCUAGGCGACGCUACCUAGCUGGGCUGAGAGGAUGACCAGCAACACUGGGACUGAGACACGGUCCAGAGUCCUACGGGAGGCAGCAGUGGGGAAUAUUGCACAAUGGGCGCAAGCCUGAUGCAGCCAUGCCGCGUGUGUGAAGAAGGCCUUCGGGUUGUAAAGCACUUUCAGCGGGGAGGCGUUACCCGCAGAAGAAGCACCGGCUAACUCCGUGCCAGCAGCCGCGGUAAUAC